rnacentral:rRNA from 1 species
GAUGAGUGCUAAGUGUUAGAGGGUUCCGCCCUUUAGUGCUGCAGCAAACGCAUUAAGCACUCCGCCUGGGGAGUACGGUCGCAAGACUGAAACUCAAAGGAAUUGACGGGGGCCCGCACAAGCGGUGGAGCAUGUGGUUUAAUUCGAAGCAACGCGAAGAACCUUACCAGGUCUUGACAUCCUCUGACAACCCUAGAGAUAGGGCUUCCCCUUCGGGGGCAGAGUGACAGGUGGUGCAUGGUUGUCGUCAGCUCGUGUCGUGAGAUG